rnacentral:rRNA from 1 species
CACGCCGUAAACGAUGGGUGCUAGGUGUGGGAGGUAUCGACCCCUUCCGUGCCAUAGCUAACGCAAUAAGCACCCCGCCUGGGGAGUACGGUCGCAAGACUGAAACUCAAAGGAAUUGACGGGGGCCCGCACAAGCAGCGGAGCGUGUGGUUUAAUUCGACGCAACGCGAAGAACCUUACCAAGGCUUGACAUCCCUCGCUAUUCAUGGAAACAUGGAGUUCCCUUCGGGGACGAGGAGACAGGUGG